rnacentral:rRNA from 1 species
UCCUACGGGAGGCAGCAGUGGGGAAUAUUGCGCAAUGGCCGCAAGGCUGACGCAGCGACGCCGCGUGGGGGAUGAAGCAUUUCGGUGUGUAAACCCCUGUUGCCCGGGACGAACCGCUCGUUUCGACGAGUCUGACGGUACCGGGUGAGGAAGCACCGGCUAACUCCGUGCCAGCAGCCGCGGUAAU